CUGGAAAUCCUGCUGCAUGUUCAGUGAAAGUGCUCUUCUAGGAGAUUGACAGGUUCUUGUACUGCUAGUACUAUACCUUUCCAUAAUGGAUUGUUGUUUUCACCAUAUUAAGUGUUUCUUUUGUUGGUGUUUAUACAUUGACCAUAUAUUUUUCUACAGAAUAAAAGAUUCUGACGGGUAAAAUAUCAUGUAACAAAAGAUUGUGAAAGUGUGUAUUUGGUUAAUAUCUUUAGGCUCAAGACAAG